AUCAGAAGGCGUUCUGAUCUGACUCCUGGACCGUUGGCUGUCUGCUGUGAGAAGAGGUCAAGGAUGCCCCAGCUCCACGCACUAAUGUGCUCUAAUGUAGGACACCCUGAGAGAAAAGACAAGGGAAGCGGAAAAGCGAUGGCAGUGCAAGGAGAUCCAGGGCGCCUGGGUGGCUCACUUGGUUAAGAAUCCA